GUUUGUGGAGUUCCCUGCUGAGGUAUUCUGAAGAAGGCAGCUCUGGGAGGUGUUGCCUAGCAGAGUGAGGAACAAUUUGAUAUGGAGGAAGAAACGUGCAUCCAAGCUAUCCUACUGCUCUUGGACUCAAAUAUUUUCACAGUCUCUUGCUGAUCUGCCUGAAGACAUUUAGAAGAUGAGGUGGGAAAAUGCUGGAGAAGUGACUGUCAGUACUCCUGCACUCACCAGCAGCCUCAGGGCUGUGCUGCCGUCUGCUACCUUCAUUUCAGACGGCCCCACAACCCAACACUGAGAGCGCCCCAGUGCUUGGCUGAGUGCUGCUGGCUUUAUUUGGGGAUGAGAUGGCCUGGAGCUGGCGUGAGGAACAGCAGGAAAAGCCUUCUAAUGUGAGCUCCCAAUUUGGCUGCAGGCACACAGAGUAAUUUUAGCUCUCACGCACUGCUCGACACCAAGGCGUUAAUUUUGCGGCACCCCGAUCUGUUUGCCUACAACUGUCUGUCUCACACAGACUGCUUCGCGUUGAGCCCGGGCAUGAAGCCAAUGGCUAGAGGCAUUGGAUAUGGCAGCAACAGGAGCAUCCCAUGCCAAAACCUCCUCCCAGGCCUAGGCUAAUAGAAAACAGCUCAGAUGCUUGCUCCAUUUGAAAAAAGAAAUGUCAACACGUCCUGGCUACCAAAGGCCUUCAUGUGUAAUUGUGUAGAGAGAAAACUGUGCAGAAAGGGAUGAACUCUGAUAAUGUCUCAUCACCUACAGGAGUGAAUACCCAAUAUAUUUUCAUCUGACAGCAUAUGAAUUAUUGCCUUCUCUAUACCUACAAUCCCCCAUAACACUACUCCUGACUGUGUAAGGAACGGUGAGGAUCCCAGCACUUCUCACUGAGCCUCAUACAGCAGCAGUGCAACAUCAUCCUGACAGCUGCCCUGCUUGGUGCCCUGCUGCCUGGAGCACAUCCUAAGCCAUCCCUGCACCUGCGAGGAGAGCAGAGCCCAUCUGACACUGCAUCUGUCUGUCCUGUCCCAGGUUCCUCAUGAACACAGGGAUGGCUCAGGCUGACAUCUAUAGGAGCCUUAGUUUGCCAGCCUUGCUGCCUCAGAAAUUUCAAUCCGAGAGAAAGAGAAGUGAGGAAAACUUUGUUUUCACUAUGACAACUUCUGUGCCAAGAGUGUGGCAAGGUAGAAGUUGGUCCUUAAAGCAAGUACAUUGAUUAUAAGAAAAAACUAAUAUGGGGAGAUCUCCUAGUCCUUCCUUUGUCUAGAAGAUGUGUAUGUAUAUACUGUGUGUGCUCAAUGCCAGAGCUAUCAGCAGGAAGACAUAACCAAUGAAUAAAGAAUUCUGCUGUUGGAAAGCUGCAGGUAUCACUCAUAAAGAAACCCUCUUUGCUGCCUGUUACAAUCUUCUAAUGAGCAAAAAAGAGGUGCAGAAAGCCAACAGCUUCUUGCCAGCAGGUCAUCUUCAAAUGUAUAAUUGGUAUCACAUUGUGAUGCUACCAGAGCUAGUAAAAACUGUAACUGAUGAUCAGAAAGUAGCAUUUUCUAGACACAGAGAGGUUUUUCUCCCUGGUUAAGUUAAUUUAGCUGACCAAGUGCUACAGCAGUUUACAGCUCUCCUGCUCCUAGAGUGCCUGCAGCUAUCCUAUCCUCCAUGGUCCCCUCCCAUCACUGCCUAAGAGCUGCUUUCAUCCCAGACGUAUUCUUGGGCAUUAGGGCACAUGGGUAUGGGAAGAGAGCUGCAGAGAUGCCUUGCAGAGGAGGGUCUUGGGGAUCCUUUCAACUGAAAAACAAAGCAGGGUGGGUCCUUGGGUCUCCUUCCUGUAUUAAGGCGGUUUUUGUUCAGUCUAUUUGCCUCAGUAGGCACUGUGAGAACUGGUUUGUGGAGAUGGUGCGUUGCUCACAGUAAUUACAAGAUCCAGGAUGAUCUCUCUUGCCAUUCUCCCAGUGACCAUCUCAUUUCCAGGUUCCCCAGUUUCACCUCCUUUUGCCUUGG
rnacentral:lncRNA from 7 species